rnacentral:lncRNA from 1 species
CACAUCAUGACAAAGCGCAAAUUUCUUAGAUCAGAAAUCUAUGACAUGCAAGAUCUAUUACUCUCCAACAAAAGGGAAACGCUUGUUCGAUUUUUCUCUCCUCUCAUACUCACAAUAUCAUCUCUUUCUCAUUUUGAUUGAAGUUUAACUGCAGAUAAUUUAUCAAUUGAGCUGAAGAAGCCAAGUGUUUGUAUUGGAGAUAAUAGAGUCCUUGUCCACGUUUUAUGGUAUAAUUUUAGUAAUAUGAGUCCAUGUCCACGUAUUGUUGUAUAGUUUUAUGGAAUCAAAACAGAGAGUUUGUCCACGUUAUCUAUUAUAAACACAUUAACAUCACUCAUCCACACAUCACCCGUCCACAAAUCACUCAAUCACGCAUCACUCGUCCACAAAUUACUCA